rnacentral:rRNA from 1 species
UGGGGAAUAUUGCACAAUGGGGGAAACCCUGAUGCAGCGACGCCGCGUGAGCGAAGAAGUAUCUCGGUAUGUAAAGCUCUAUCAGCAGGGAAGAAAAUGACGGUACCUGACUAAGAAGCCCCGGCUAACUACGUGCCAGCAGCCGCGGUAAUACGUAGGGGGCAAGCGUUAUCCGGAUUUACUGGGUGUAAAGGGAGCGUAGACGGCAAUGCAAGUCUGAAGUGAAAGGACGGGGCUUAACCCUGUGACUGCUUUGGAAACUGUGUAGCUUGAGUGCCGGAGGGGUAAGCGGAAUUCCUAGUGUAGCGGUGAAAUGCGUAGAUAUUAGGAGGAACACCAGUGGCGAAGGCGGCUUACUGGACGGUAACUGACGUUGAGGCUCGAAAGCGUGGGGAGCAAACAGGAUUAGAUACC